GAUGAAGAACGUAGUGAAAUGCGAUAAGUAGUGUGAAUUGCAGAAUUCCGUGAAUCAUCGAAUCUUUGAACGCACAUUGCGCCCCCUGGCAUUCCUAGGGGCAUGCCUGUUCGAGCGUCAUUAACAACCAUCAAGCGGGACCUGUCUGCCUCGCUUGGCCAUGGGGGAUGGCCGCCCUCGGGGCGCCCACCCCCGAAAUACAACGGCGGACAGCCACCACGGGGCACCCGGGCGUAGUAAGUUGCUCUCUCGCCCGCGCCCACGGAAUGGACUGUCCGGCCGGUCGAACCCCCAACAUCCAAUGGUUGACCUCGGAUCAGGUAGGGAUACCCGCUGAACUUAAGCAUAUCAAUAAGCGGAGGA
rnacentral:misc_RNA from 1 species